rnacentral:misc_RNA from 1 species
GUAUUUUGAAUUAAGUAUUCAUAAUAUUUUUCAGACAAAGUAGUUAAAAUGAGUUGAUGUAUAAAAGCCACCAUCAGAAAACUGAUGAUAGCCAAACAUUGCACACAAGGUGGAUAUGGAUUUUUAAAAAGUGCCAUAAAACACUUUAUUAUGAAUGAUCCUUCCGCAGGUUCACCUACGGAAA